GCAGUGGUGAUUCAGUAGUAGAAUUCUCUUCUUCCAGGCAGGAGGCCUAGGUUUAAUUCCCAGCCAAUGCG
rnacentral:tRNA from 1 species